rnacentral:rRNA from 1 species
CGUAGGUGGCAAGCGUUAUCCGGAAUUACUGGGCGUAAAGCGCACGCAGGCGGCCUGUCAAGUUCGACGUGAAAGCUCCCGGCUUAACUGGGAGAGGUCGUUGAAGACUGAUAGGCUUGAGACAUGGAGAGGGGUGUAGAAUUCCCGGUGUAGUGGUGGAAUGCGUAGAUAUCGGGGGGAAUACCAGUGGCGAAAGCGGCACCCUAGCCUUAGUCUGACGCUCAUGUGCGAAAGCGUGGGGAGCGAACGGGAUUAGAUACCCCGGUAGUCCACGCUGUAAACGAUGAACACUAGGUGUAGGUGAUGUGAAAGUUAUCUGUGCCGAAGCCAACGCGUUAAGUGUUCCGCCUGGGGAGUACGGCCGCAAGGCUA